rnacentral:lncRNA from 1 species
GUCAAAACAAAACGUAAUGAUCGGGUCGGUCAAAGGGAUCAACGGUGGACAAGUCACCAAAUCGGUGUCCUGCCACCAGAGCCUGUUCCCUUAUCUACUCUAUUACUGCCACUUCGUUCCCAAGGUUCGGGUCUAUGAAGCGGACCUCCUGGACCCGAAAACCAAAGCCAACAUUAACCAUGGUGUUGCCAUCUGUCACUUGGACACCUCCGAUUGGAGCGCAGGUCAUGGUGCAUUCGUAGCAUUGGGUUCGGGCCCUGGCCGGAUUGAAGUUUGUCACUGGAUCUUCGAGAAUGAUAUGACCUGGACCAUUGUAGACUGAUUCAUGACCCACCUUGUCAGCUCAGUUCGAACCACUUGGUCAACCAAGCUGGCGCGACCCCGACAUCUGCUUGUUCGUUUCCUUCAUAACGAGUCAUGGUGAAAUAUUUCAAGGCAUUUGCUUCAUCUAUGUAAGGAUGGUAAUUUAUCUCAGUUGUGCGAGAGCUAAGGAAGGAUUAAAAUGUUGAAAAUUAUAAAAAUAUGGGUAGUUAAAAUUUAGAUAAAUAUAGAAAAAUGUUGGACAGAAAAUUGGUUAAAAAAUACCAGUUUAAAAGAAAUUGAUGGUAAAAUAAGUAAUAAUUUAUGAAAACUCAAAAAAAUAAAAAAUAAAUAAUAAUAUAUAUUUUAAAAUUGUUUUAUUAGAGAAAAUUAUAUAUAUAUGGAUAAAAUUUAUAAUAUUAAUUUGUAAAAGUUGAAAAUAUAUUUAUUAAACACAUUUAAUAUUAAAAUUAUUAUCUAAUUAGUAUAGAUGUAUUUAAGUCUAUAAAAGAAUGAUAAGUGUGCAUAUAUAAUAUUUAAUUAUUAUUUAAAAAUAUAUAAAAAAAAUAAAUUAAGAAGAUUAUUAUGAUGAUUUUCAGAUCCGUUGAAUGAAAUUUUAAAGUACCAUAGUUAAAAGUAAUUCAUUUAAUUUUUUUUUUAAUUUAAUAUUAAUUUCAUGUCUUGGGUUCAGAUGAUGAAGAUUUUAUUAAUAUGAUACUUCAUUCGUACGUGAAAGCAAGAGAAAAGUGACAAAAUCAGGAUAAAAUCCUAAAAUAUUAAAGAAAUAUCAUGAAAUCGAGGAGAAAUAUCAAGAGACUUUAGAGAAAUACUAGGAAUUUUCAUAGAAAUAUCAAAAAAUGUAGGAAAAAAAUAGAGAAAUACUAGUAAAUAACGACAAUAUUGGUUGAUUUUUGGCAAGCCAAGAUUUCCAUCCCUUUUUGGUAUCACGACCGGUCGAUGCACUGAAAUUUGAAGAUAUUUCAUUGAAAUAAUGUUGAUAUUUUCACCCAAAUUUCGCAACGUUUUAAUCUUUGAACCUAACAAAUGCUUUGAUGGCUUCCGAAAGGUGGAAGGUAAUGAAUGAAUGGCUUUCAGUAAUCAGUAUUAGAACAAUGGUGCUUCGCUGGGGCUUCAUUUCCUAAUAAUGGCCUAGAAAUCUAUGAAAGAUGCAAAAUUGAUGUGAGGUCCACGUGAUGUACAUGGACAAAAUUGCUCUUUUAUUAUUUAAGCAUGUGAUAGUUGUGGAAAUGGGCCAAAGAAUUCUCUCAUUACAUGGAUGCAUAUGUGAUGGAUAACAUGACAAAUGCAAUAUUGCAUAAAACAAACAGGGUCAAGCCCUAGUUUUAGAAAUGAAGCUCUUGUACUCAAAACUAGGAGAAUAACGAAGACCUCUCUAACUAAGGUUAUGGCAAAGACCUCCACGAUCAGGGCAAUGGCAAAUACAUAGAUAGAAGGGAGGUUGCACAAUUGCAAAACCUUGGUGAAGGGAGGGAAAUGAGGGUGAAGUCAUGAUGGUGAAAUGACCACAAUCCAAGCCUUGGUAAGUUAUAUAUUAAUGUCCCUCCCAAUCUUAAAGUCUUGAAAUUGAUUUGAUAGGUUCUAUCAUCAGUUUGGCUUGGAAACAAACCAAGAAUCUAAAGCCUAUGAAGUAAAAGAAAAUGAGUGAUGUUAGAGAAAAUGUUAUAAAUUGAAUAGAUUUAUGUUAUUGAAAUUUCUAGAGAGUAGAUAAUUAUACAACUAUUUUGAUAAGCCGAAUACAAUAUUAAGCAAUGGAAUGAAAAUAUUAGUUUGAAAUCUUCAAAUUGAUAACAAAUGUGACAGUGGGAAUCAAGCAAGGAAAAAAAAUAUUGGGAUAUAUUAGCGAUAUAUCGGUGAUAUAUCGUGUAUCAGAGAAGACAAAUAUGAUAUAUAGAUAAGAUAUAUCGUCUGACGAAAAUAUUGGUAAAUAUCGGUGAUACAAGUAAAAUAUCGACCAUAAAUAAGAAAAAAUCGUUGAAAUUUUGGAGAUAUAUUGGAUAUAUCGAAGAUAUAUCGGUGAAAAAUCGAUAAAAAAUUAAAUUAUUAUAAAUAAGUUAAUUUUAAUUAUGCUUUAAUUUAUUUUGUAUGCUAAUUAAAUAUAAAAUCAUAAAUAAAAUUAUCAAUAUUUUUAAAUAAAAAUAUUUUGUAUCAAAAUGUACCAAUAUUUUAAAAUAAAAAUCAUAAAUAUAUUUAAAUAGCAUAAUUAGUAAAUUUGCAAUAAUUUAGUUUUAAAUUAAUUAUUUUAUUUUAUUUUGAUAUUCAAGUGUAAUAAUAGUAUAUUGAGAAUAAAUUAACUUAAUACAUUUUUAAAUUAGUAUAACAUUGAAUUUAAAUUAGUACAUUUUUAUAAUUAAUUAAUGUAUUUUUUAUAGAGGUAAGUAAAUUAACUUAAUAUAGUAAUAUAUUUAAAUCAUAUAAUUAGUAUAUUUAUAAUAAUUUAAUUUCAUAAUGAGUUUACACUUACAAAAUUCACAUUUCUUAUCAGUCGAUACUAUAUAAUUAAAUUUAAUAUUGCAAAUCAUAUCAUACAUAUAUUAAUUUUUUCAACAAAACAAUUUUAAAAUGUCUAUUAUACUUCUAAUUUCAUUUUUAAGAGUUCUUUACUUACAUUUUCAUAAGUUUUGAUGAAUUUUUUGUGUAUCGAUAUUUUGUGUCAAAAUAUCUACCGAUAUAUCUCUGAUAUAUCCGAUAUAUUUGUAAAAUCUAAGUAUCGAUAUAUCCAUGAUUACCGAUAUUUUCAUUCUUGAAAACAAGCUCAUGCAAAAUUUUGAUAUAGCUCUAGUGUUUUGCAUAAUAACCUUUUGAGGUUCAACACUCGAUGUGAGAAUAAACCAAUAUCAAAGUACCUUAUUGAUUUGUAGCCUUAUUCUAACCUAGUUGUAAAAUCUAAUAGGCUUAAUUCUUCUUAACUUUGAUAUAGUUCCCCAUAUAUGCCCCCAUUUUUAUUAAAGCUUUAGCAACUCCCAAGCCAUAAGGCUUUAGGGCACUAGGAUUAAUUAGUGAUUUUCUUCGGAUUCAUACCCUAGUUUCUGGUCAAUUAUAGGUUUUUCCACAUAUGCUUCAAUCUCAAGACACCUACAUUUUGAUGUGAACCUCAACUCUUACCUAGGAGUAAAGGGUACUAAAUUACUCAAUAGGGACUCUUGCCAAAGGCAAACCCAACAACAACUUAAGGAUAAUAAACCCAAAAUUUAUCAUACAAGAACUUAGACCCUUGAUGCCUUCAACCUACCUCACUCGUCUAUGUGCACCAUGUGUUAUAAAGGGUGAACAAGAAAUAUCCACUUGGAUUAUUAAUGGUUUAGGUUUUAAGUUGAACCAUGUUUGUUACUAGGCUACUGCCUAAUCAAGUAAUUUGACCCUUUGUAUUGAUGUAACCUAGUUUCAACUUACUCAGCCUCCAAAAUUUUGAUAAGAAAGACUCUCAAAAUUGAAUUUAGGGUAAGUGCAAGUAUGAGGUACAAGUAUGCACAAGGGUUCCUGUUUUUUUUUUUUUUGGUAAAUUUUUCAUUCUAACCCAUCCUUUACCACCCAUAUAUCAUCACAUCCUAUUCAUAUAAUAUUCAAUAACUACUCACCCCCUGACCUAACCUAAACAUUGUCCUUAAUGUUUUCAAGUAAUAGAGAAUAAAGGUAUGAAACAAUUCAACAAUGAGGAAAAAGAAGGGGGAGAUGGAAGGAUAUCCUCCCAUAGCACUGGUGAAAGUAGAAGGAUGACUUAGAGAAUUAUUUAAAAGCUAUAAAGCGAAAUAAAUAUAAAAUAAGACAAAUAAAAUAAAGAUAGGUAGGCAUUAUUUUAUUUUAUUUUAUUGUUUAAAAAUGGAUCCAAAAUAGGUGCGAAAGGUUAACUUGUUUCUUGUUAAAUAUGAGUUUGAUGGUCCCAUAACUCCAUAACAUCAAUGGGUUGUUUAAUUUUUGCACUGAAAUUAAGAGAAUAAACACGUUGAGAAUAUUCCCCUUUCAUUUAUUUUUCAGGAACUUCUUUUUUGGAACCAUGAAGAUGAUCAUAUGUAAACAGUAUUAUAUGUUAUGGAAAAAAGGAAAAAGUCGAAGUGAUAUGCUAAUUCUGAUGGUGGUGGAGGUGGUGAGAACUGAGAAGAUGGCUGUGAAGGUGGUAGUGGUGGUGGUGAAAGUCCAAGCCUCCGCCAUUUUCCAAAGGGUAAGCCAUCUGAUCAGACCAUUUUUCAGAUGGGCUUUUUGUCAACUCGAGCAAGGAGUCCCUGACAUGGUCAGCUUGAACCAUCUCACUGUCCCUCUUCUGCUACCAAGAUGAGAAAAUCAACAGAUACACAUGAAAAUAAUUUAUCAAACAGUUGAUGAGAAGUGUUCAAGGGUGGCCUUACCUCUACUUUGAACACAUUAGAAACCAGGCCUUUGCAGCUUGUUACAUUUGCAUUUGUCACUUCCAAGCCUAGAGAGCUCAGAGCCUCCAUCAGCCUCGCAAACCCGCCAGCCUUGUGCUCACAAAACACCUUAACGAAGAACUCAUUGCCUUCUAUCUGAGCCACUUCCACUUGGGGCUGCAGCAUAGUUUCAACUUUCACUUCCAAUUGAACACACAGAAAAGAGAAUCACAGAAUGGAAACAAUAAAUAUCAUCAAGUACCUCCAUCUGCUGUGCUUUGUCAUUGUUGAUUUGAUCAGUUUCAUGGUUUUGCUUAGGGAGCCUGCAGGCACUGCCAUUGCCUGCUUCUCCCAUAUGAAUCCCGUUUUGAGCUUCUUCAUUUUCAGUUUUAGACCCAAUGUUAACUCCUGAUCCAUCAUUGUUCAGAAUUUCAGAUUGGACAUUGUUAUGGUUGCUGUUGAUGCCUGCAUUAAUCUUCCCCCCUUCAUCGUCUGAAUGCUCUUCCAGCUCAUCUUGAAGAUCCUUUGCUUGUUUCUGCAACUCCUUCACAAAUUCUAUUGCAUCACCCAGAAUUGAAGCUCUAUCCAACUAGGAAUCAAAAAUACAUCAGAUAUCAGUAAAAAGUACUAAUCAUAGUGUGAAUUAAUCUUGAAGAAUCUUGACCAGGCCAAAGAAGAAUGACAGCCACCUUAGAUAUUUUGGGAACCAAAGCACGAAGCGCAUAGAGUCUAUCAUUAAGCUUCUUCCUUCGCCUCCUCUCAGCGACCAAGUUUUUUGAUUGAGUCCCUUUUCCAGUCCUCCUUCGGUACUUCAAAUCAUCAUCAUCAUCAAUCUGAUCACUGCAGUCUGAUACUGAAUCAGCUUGGUUUGCCAUUUGUUUAGUACUCGAAUCCUUAUCAUCACCCAGCUGCUCCUUGUUUGCUAGAGGCUCCAUCAUUUCUCUAUGCAUGUUUUUGGAAUUGUUAGUACACACCAUCAUGGAUUUCUGCAUUGCCUCCAUCUCCUGAAAUCCACAAUCUGAGGACAUAAAGGGGUUAAUCACCUUCUCUGAAAGAAAUGAGCCAUCGGAUCCUUCAAAGAAGAUAUCAUUCUUGACGCUACUCUCAGAGGUGUAACUGAAUUGCUGCAAGAAGUUCAUGGGAGAGCUGCAUAGGCGGAUUCGUUCAACUGAGAUGUCAAAUGGCAGAUCAUUCAAGUUCUCCAAUGCUGUUACUGGGGAAAUUGUUGCCUGGAAAUGAUUGUUGGGAUCCUUUUCCUCAUCUGCAUUGCCUGCAUUGGCAUUAACUGAGAAGAUUGUAUCAAUAUUGCUUGAAUUCAUCAUGGCUUCCUGCUCCAUCAAGAUUAUGUUGCACUGUGUUGUGACGAAGUUUACUACGUGUUGAUCCUCAGCUACCUAUUUCAAUAAAUAAAUGAAGUUACCAAUUUCAUUUUCAUCAUGAAAAGAUCAUUUUUCUUCAAAUCAACCUGAAAAUACUAUGUUAAGAACUGAUCAGGCACAAUUUGAUGCAGCUAAUUAAUAUUUUCAACAUUAUACGAAACAUUAAUAGUACUUGAUUAGCAACAAACAGUUCAAUUAGUCCUCCCAGCACUGGAAUCAAGAGCCUGGUCCCAACUGUUUCCUGCAAAAACCCAAGUGGAAAAUCAUUAUCUCGAUUGGGGAUAUGGCCUAGUUUAAAUAGGAAUUUGGAAUACUACUCACUUCGAGAACGCUUGAAUCUGAACUAUUACAGAAGUUGAGCCAUCUGGGUUGGUUUGAAAUCAAGGUCUGUCCAUGAAUGCUGCUUAUAAGCAUCUAUGUCAGGUGAAGUUUUAACUGUAUGUCAUUUAAGGCGAAAAGGCUGAAAAAAAGGGAGAUACCCAGAAUCUAGGGAAAUAGAAGAAGGCAAUUGGGCAAGAAGAUCACAAGAUUUGGUUCUUGGAUGCUGCAACAUGGCAUCCCUGCAAGGAAGUACACUGGAAACAGGAAAAAGAAUCUCCUCUUCACCAUUUUGAGUACUGUUUUCGCUUCCAGCACAGCAACAAUCCAUCCAGUCCAGAAACCUAAAACAAAACCGAAUUAUGAAUCAUGAGCUGAUCACAAAUAGCACAAGACAUAGAUUGAAGCUUUUCACUCAACCUUUGAUCUUCACUUAGUUUCCAAAGAACACAGUAGUCCCAGCUUUUCAAUCCCACAAGAGGCCUCAGCCUCUCCUUGAGGCUCUGCACCAUGUUGACCAUUUCUCCUGUAAUUAACAUCAUGCCCACUUCAAAAAACCUGCAUUAAACACAAUUCCAUGACAAACUAUCCAUUGCCAAAAAGUUUAAGCUACCAGAUAACUAGACAAAAAUGAAUAUUAAGCUUGAAUAAUCCUUGGGACUAAGAAAAAACAAAAGAAGAAAGCAAUGAAAAGGAGAAGAAACAAAAGCGAAUAUCCAUACAAACUUGGAUUACUUGAUAGCAAUAGGUAACUGCAACAUCAUCCAAGAGACAGCACCCACUUCAUCCAAGAAAACCCCAUCUCAGCAAAUGGGCUGAGAGAGGUAAAAGCAAAAGCUCAAAUUCUUCGUUAGUCUAAAAUCUUUGGUUUUAUAUUUGGGGUUUUGGCUUUUACUUUGGUAGGUGAAGUGUAGUGCAUGCAUGAGAGAGAGGGUGAGAGUUUUGUAAAGAAGAUAAGAAAAAACGGAAUAUAAAAAGGAUAUAUGAGAAGUAAUGAUGGAAGGGCGUAUCGUGUGAGCUAAGAAGGCGUACAAAAGCCUAACUAAUUCGGUUAUAUAUUCUUUCGUCUCUCAACUACUCUCCUACUUUGAAUCAUAUUGAAAACUACUCUAAAAGAAUCUUCUUCAAUUGGAUAUGUCUUCCAAUGUAAAUAAGCAAAAUAUUCUAAAUUAUCAAAGUUCUAAGAUAAUUGUAGUAUCACGUAUUUAUAUUUUGGAAAAAAAAAAAAACGAAGUUACCAAAGAGGUACUUAUUCAAUUCCUCGUAUUCAUAAUUGAAAAUGCACAAAAAGAAAAAAAAUCUAACUCGUUUGGAUGAAGCUAUAAAUAAUAUGAUUAAAGUAUAAAAAAUAAGACUAAAACAUAAAUGAAAUGAAAUCAAGUUACAAAGCAGUUAGUAUAAAGUAAUUAGGCCUAAAUGCAUACGUAAUAUAACUUAAUUAGUCACACUUUUCUGAAGGUACCUCUCAAGCAAUCUAAUCAAAUCUUUAUAUCUUUAGUACCUUGAUUGUGUUAUCAUAUUUUCACUUACACUAGAGGUGUAAUUUGAUUGAAUUAACCUAACUCAACAUGAAGUUUGGAUGAAUUUGAGCAAUCAUCUUUUAAUACUCGAGUUGAGUUUGGGUUAAGUUUUUUUAACCCGAACUGAAGUUGGAUUUGGAUCAAAAUUUAAACAACCUAAGCCUAACCUGAAUUUGAUUUAAUAUUUUUAUAAUAUUACAAAAAGCUUUUUCACUAGUAGCCAUAUUCAAAUCCAUCAAAGCGUUCCUAUCUAUUGUGGUGCAUCUCAUUUAUGAGAUACAACAAUUAGAUAUCGAGAUAACAUUCUUGAAAGGUCAUCUUAAUGUUAGUAUCUAUAUGAUGCAACCAGAUAUUUUCAUAAUAAAGGGUUUUGUUUGUACAAGAAGACAUAGUGAAAGCAUAGUGGUGCUUUAAGAUCUUGUAGGUAGAUGACAAUCUACUCAUUGGGAAUAAUAUAGAGACAUUGUCACUAGUCAAAAUUUGUUGUCUACUUAGUUCUAUAUGAAAAUCUAGUAGGCACAAUAAAUUCUUGGGAUUAAGGUCCUUAUAGAUGCAAGAUUAUGAAAAUUUUGUUAUGCUAUAUCAUCUACAUUAACAAGCAUUUGUUCAAGUGCAUGAUGCAAGAUAAAAAGGGUUGCUCCAUUUUGGUUUAGAGUUAUCUUUCUCAGAUUAAUUAGUAUCAUUGGACAUUUAAGGAGAUAAUACCUUAUUGGCACAAUUUAUGAGAGUUGAAUUAACUCUUAGUUCAUUUAUAUGCAUAUAAGGAUGUUUUGAUAAUUACAAAAGAUUGUAUAGGGAUUAGUAAACAAUAUUUUUGAAUUGAGCUAAUUAAUUAAUUAGAAGAUCAUGUAGAGUUAAUUAAUCAAUUAAAAUCUUAUUUGGGCUAGAUUAAGUGAUCUAAGCCUAUGAUGGACUCAAGUCACUUAAACCCAGUUAGGAACCCUAUAAAAUACCCCCUUAAGGCUAAUGGUUUCUAUACUUUAGUCUUCCAUCAUCUAAUGAGAGAAAAUCCUAGCCUCCACCCUCCCAAACCUCUCAUCGUUUGUGUGCUAAAGAAAAAAGGAGAGCCAUCGGGUAGGAGAUCUUAGGUUCACAAAACUUCCAAUGGCUAUAAGAUUGAUCUUCAUCGAAAGGAAUUGAUUUGGGAAUAUCCAAAUUAGAGGUAUUGUUUUCUAAAGCACUAUUAUAUAUCUUUUUAAUGUUAAAAAUGGUCUUUAAUUUUUGCUUUUGUUGCAUAAUAUCUAAAUGCCUCAGGUAGUUUUUAUGCGCCUAACUUGAUCAUAGGAUAAAAAAUAGAGUGAUUCGGGAUUCCUUUCAAUCUUAAAGACACGUGAUCAGGAAAUUUAUGAUCGUUAUAAUUCCUUAACUGGAAUUUGACAUAUGCUCUUAGAGAGUUAAAGUAUGUCAAGUGAUUAUAUUAUAGAAGGAUUUGAGACUCAAAGAUUUGAGAGGUUGAUAGCAUCUACCUCAUUAGAUUACAAACACCAAUUCAUAGGAACUCUGCAUGCAAUGAAUAGUAGGUCAUAAACACAAGUUUACAUCUCAUUUUAAUAUCAUAAGAUAUUGGAGUACAAUUGGCUCUCUAUAAUAGGAUGUUGAUUCAACUUCAGAAUUAGAUUUUGAGUUAGUAUUUUCUUAUAGGUCUCAAUAGUACUUCAUGCUCAUAUUCCUUGGUGGUACAUUUAUCGAGGGAUAUUUAGGUUCCUUAUUCAUAUAUAUAUAUAUAUAUAUAUAUAUGCAUAAAGAUGUUUUCGUAAAAACACAAGGUUGCUUUAGAGUCUAUGAAUGGUCUUUUUUUUAUUAUGCUAAUUAAUUAAUUAAGACCAAAUGGGAUAGAUUAAGUGACCUAAACCAUAGAUGAGUGUGGACCCGUAUUUUUCAUCUGUGUUCCUAGUUAAUGGUGAGACUUGCUUUUUAUUAGUGAAAAUUUGAUUUUUGAAAAAGUUAGUCUCCACUUAUUUUAGUUUAUUUUUAAAAAGAAAAUAAAGUAAGAAAGAAAACUUUGUGUAAUUCCUUAUUUGAAAAAAUGACAAGUUUGUAAACCAAAAAUGGAUUUAGGAAUUAAGUUGCCUAUUGGGAAAGUAUGGUAAUAAGUUAUAGCAGCCCUUUAACCUUGUAUAUCUAUGGUCUCUACUAGACAAAUGAAGAAAAUUAUGACAAUUGAUUAAUUAAACAUGAAUAUUGAAAAAAAAAACACAAUACAAGCAAACAUACAACAUGACAUUAGCUAAAAAAUAAAUUACAAGAAUAUAAAAAACUGAUAUAAGCUAAAAGCACAAAAUGAUUUAUUAGAAAAUAUGUUUAUUAUUCCAAAUGUCAUAACACAAUUUUAAAGAAAAUUCAAUUGUUUAUUUACAAAUAAAGUUCAGUUUAUUAACAAAUGAUUUGAUUUAUUUAUUCAAAUUGAAAGAGGUGUUUUUUUAUUUAUUUAUUUAUUUAUUUAUUAGAAGAGUUUAUUGAAUAAAAUUUCAUUUAAAGAGAAAAGUUUGAAUUUGAUUUUAUUUAUAAAAAAAAUGAUUUUUAUUUAUUUUUACUAGAAAAAGAAUGAAUUUUUAUGAUUCUAUUUUCAAGGAAUUCAAUUCAAUUUUUGUUUAAAGACUUUUUUUUUUUACAAAUAAUUAAAAGAAAGUGAUUUUUACAAAAUCAUUUAUAGAAAGAAAAUUCUAAUUUGAUUUUAUUUACAAAGAAAUUGAUUUUUAUUAGUGAUUUUAAAAAGCAUCAAUUUGAUUCUUAUUUUGGGAAAAAAAUUAUGAGGAAAAAGGUUUUAACCAAUUUAUUAAAAAAGAGAAAUUUCAAUUCAAAUUUUAUUUAAGAACAAGUGGCUUUCCUACAAAGUAUUAAAAAAAACUUAACAAAUUUAUUAAAAAGUAAUCUUUUUCUAAAUUUAUUUAGAAAAAGAAUUUCACAAAUUUAUUUAUUUUUCUUUAUUUACAACAAGAGAUUCCAUUAAGAAAUAUUUUUUCUUUUUACAAAUCCUAUUUACAAAAAUGAUUUCACAAUCCAAUUUUUAUUAAAGAUUUUUUUAAAUACAACUUUCAUUUCCAAUCCAAUUUUUGUUUCAGAAAAGAUUUUAUUUCAACUUUUAUUUUCAAUCAAAUUUUUAUUUUAAUAUUUUUUUACCAAUUUACUCAAAAAGGAAUUUUACAAAUUUAUUUCAAGUCCAAUUUUAUUAAGAAAGAAAUUUUGAAUUUUAUCUAUAAAAAAAUUGUUUACCAAUUUAAUAAAAAAUGUAUUUCAAUUUAAUUUUUAUUCAAAAUGUUUUUACAAAUUUUAUUUCUGAAAUUAUUUACAACUCAAAUUUUUUAUUUAAAAAGAGAUUUUUAUUUGAAAAGAAAGAUCUUGACAUUUUUACAAUUUUAUUGAAAGAAACUUUGUAGUUUUUUGUUUUUUAAAGCAUUUCUAGUUUCUAUUUGGAAAAUGAUUUUACAAAUUUAUUUUCAUAAAGUGAUUUUAUAGUUUUUAUUUGGAAAAAGUGAUUUUACAAAUCUUAUUUGAAGAAGUGACUUUGCAAUUUUAUACAAAAACUAUAAGAAUUUUGUAGAAAAGUCACUUAAUUAAAAAGAAAAAGAUUUGAAGUCUUUUUUUACUUUAAAAAAAAUUAGAUUUAUAAAUUUGAUAUUUGAAAAUACAAUGGAAUGAAAUGGAAAGAAACUUCACAAUAAACAUAUGGGAGAAUAUGAAUAAAUUAGAUAAAAUAAUAAAAAGACUAAAGAUAAACAUCAAAACUAAAAUAUAACAAACAUAUAUAUGAGAAAAAAAAAAGUACUUAAAAAAAAUAUACUGUAAACAAAUAUUCCUAAAGAUAAAUAAAAAGAAAUAAAUAAACAAGUAAGGGAAUAUACCCAAUAUUAUGCAGUGAAAGAACAAUAAAACAAAAAAAAAAUAGAGAGUAGUACUCUCCAAGCCAUCCCCAUUGCUUAAACCCUUAGGGUUCUUCACUUCAUAUAACCUCCCAUGGGAAAAUCCAACCCUCCAUGUGUUUAGCAUUCAGGCUUAGCCAAAGAAAUCUAAGAAAUAGGCUCAUGCAUAGAAAAUAAGAAUAGCAUAAAUAAAUAAAUAAGUCUGACACUAAUAACAAACUAUCAUCAAAUUAGUUCAAUAAAUUUCAUCAAUAAAAAUAGGUUCAAAUGAAUAAAUGAAACUUAAUGAAAAUAUCCAACAUACCAUAGUCCCAAAUCCAAAAUUCCAAUUAAUAACCAAUACAACGUAUCUACAAUCCUAAGUUCAAUAUUCAUAAAUAAUGCACUAUGAAGAUCAAGAAAUAAUAAUAAAUAAAAUAAAUAAAAAUAAGGAAAUGAGGACUUAUCUUGAAACCCAAAUAAAGAAAAAAUGGUGGUAGUGGACUUGAAAAGGGUGGUGUCAUGUGAUGAUAGUCAUGGAAGCAUGUGGUGUGGUUAACGGAUAAGAGAAUGAGAAACAAAGAAAACAGGUGUAGAAGAAAUAGGAAAUGAAAGAGAGAAAGAUAGAGAAACAGAGAAAAAAAAAAGAUGAGAAGGGAAGAGAAGUGUCAUCGAUCAAAGAGGCUCGUCGGUGGUGAUUAGUAGCCGAGAUAGUCACUGGUAGGAAGGCACAGUGAAGGUAGGGUGGUGAAGAAUGGUAGCAAUACAAAAUGGGAAAGAAAAGAAAUAAGAGAGAGAAAGAGAAUACAUAGUGAAAUGAGAAAGAGUGAGAUGAGAUGAAAAAGAGGACUGUUGGUCAACAUCGUAGAACUGCUAGUGAUGCUACCAACAUCAAAGUAGUGGCUGGCCAUGGAGGUGGUGGUGGGUGUGGAGAAAGAAAAAGGAAAAGAAAUGAAAGAAGAGAAAGGAAAAGGAAAAAGGAGGAGAAAUCCCAAUGGGAGUAGGCAACUGAAGAUGGAAAGAAUGUGUGGUCUUUAGGGUUUUAGAUGAAUGAAUGGUGUAAAUGAAGGGGAAAAUGAAUGAUCAAGAUGGGUUCUUCUAAAAUGGGUAUAAAAUUUGGUAGUCUACAAUGGACUCAAGUCACUUAAACCCACAAGGAAACCUAUAUAAACCUCUUUUAAGGUUUUAAGGCUUGAGACACUCUUGACAUUCAGUUUUUCAAAGAGGAACCCUAGUCUCCACCCCUUCAAAAGGGGAUUCCACCUUCUUACAUGUUAAGAUUCAGGAAAAAAAUAUUAUUGAGUUGAAAGCUUAUUGGCUUUUUACACCCGUUACACUUCUUUGUAGAUUGGAAACAAUUUAGGAACAUUCAUAUCAUAAUUAUUGCAUCUAAACUCCAAAACUAAAGUUUUUAAUAUUAACGUUUACCACUCUAUAUUGAUUUGGCUCAAGGUAUAUAUAACAAUGAUAAAACCUUACAUAAAUAGAAUUUAAGAAUCACUAGGAAUCCAUGAUAUCAAAGAAUAGACAAUUGUAUCAUCCUCCAAGCUAAAAUUAGAGGGCAUUUACUUUUCAUACCAAUUCCUUAGCCCCUACUUUAUUUCAUUAUUGAGUUUAACUAUUCCCAUUAAAUCCUACUUUAGCUUUUCAUAUUUCAUAUCCCAAGAAAGCCUUUUAACCUCUCAUAGGUGUGUUGUCACCUACACAAUCCAUUAAAGAAAGAUAAAGAGUUAUUCUUGAAAAUUAAAGAAUUCAAAAGCAAUAUAUUGAUUGAUAAUAAUUGAGAAAGAAAUACCAAGCAAGAUCCUUUUCUAUCUUAUUCUUUAAAAAAAAAAAAAAAAACUCUAAACUCUUCAAAAAAAAAAAAACUAAAAAUUUGAGUUUUUAUAGUUUGGGUAAGAACCUUACAUGUGGCAUGUUCCUAUUGGUCACUUAUUUUCCAAAAAGUGCUUAAAAAUAACUAAAAACUAAUAAAAAUCUAACUUUAGAAUGUCUGGGCCCCAUUUUGGAUUGGAGAAGUGUCAAAAUGUUUCAUAUUGAGAAUUCACAAGUAAUGUGGAAUUGGAGUAACUAAAGUCGAAAUCAAUUUUAACAUGUAUUUCAACUUGGUAAGUUAGGAAUUUUGACAUGGUAAUGUGCAUUUCAACCUCUAUUUUGAUAUGAACUUCUCAUGUCAAAAUUUUCAUUCCAACAAAAACAUCGUCAAAAUGGCUAUCCAAUUUUAACAUGAGGUUCUGUUUCUGUAUUGCUUAUUCAAGUGGCUAUAACUUCUUCAUUUUAUCUCCAAUUCAUGCACUAUUUGAGGCAUUAGAUUUUUGAAUUCUCAAGCUUCAAAUUGAUAUGUGUCCUGCUUGAAAUGAUCUUAAUGAAUCCUUCAAGAUUCACGUCAAAGUGAAAGUAUAUGCAACUAUGAGGCGAUCUUAAACUCUAAUUCCUAUAUUAAACUUCAAGUUUUAUAGCCUUUAGCUUUUCUUUUUGUGUCUCAUUAACCUUUAUAAACUUGUUUCUCAUAUCUCAUCCUUUCUCCAUUUUUAGUUGUCAAAGCUCUCAUUAUGUUUCUAUUAGGAUUGAGCCUUAGAAAGCAUGACAUAAUAUAUGAUUACUACUCAAAAAGUGCUAUUUCAUAGCUUGUAAUGAACUCUUUUGAGUAUUAGUUAACACCUUUUAACCCAAUUAACAUAUUAAGGACCCUUGCAAUCAAUUCUAAUCAAAUUGUGUUAAGUUUUGGUGUUUUGAUAGCUUUUUUAUCACCAAAGCAAUCAGAGAUUGAGGAGAGUUCUUUGGAAUGCAAGAAGUAAAAGAUGUUCGGACACACCAUCGGAUGGCGGCGGAAGUCAAUGAUCCGGACAACAUAUCCGGAUAGGAUAUGCUAUCGUCCGGGUGUGAUGUUCACGAGUGUCGUGUGCCUCUUCCUGAGGGAGUCCGGAUAGGGGGAGCGCGCCACAUGUCCUCUUGGGGAAUCCGGAUGGAGUUGAUCCGGAUAGCCUUGCGCGCUCCGUGUCAUCCAGGAGAGGGGUCCCUACACCUUGCACACGCAGAUGGUCCCCCUUGCGCAGCAUAGCUCAGUCCACCCGGGGAAGAAUUCCGUGCGCCAACAUUUCAUAUCCGGAAUUCCGUGCGCCGACAUUUUACAUCCGGAUAUCUCACAACCGGAUGGGAGAGGAGGACGUUUCAACUUCUCUAGUCAGACAUAUCCGGAUCCUCUGAUAGCGCUUACCAGGAGAGUUUUUCUCUCAGUAUGUAGUACUGCGGUGUUCUCCUGAAGCUUCCUGAUAUUUCUGACCGACAUCUUGAGAUAUUUCCGACCGACAUCUUGAGAUAUUUUGUUUUAGAUAUUUGUUGUCUAAAUCCCCAAACUCUCCUUGUAAUCCACCUAUCAUAGGAUUCCUUAGUCUUUAAGUAAGUACAAAGGGUGAAUAACCUCAUAUAUAUAGUUUGUAAUUUUCUUUACAAAGGGAUCGAUCAUGUAAUUAGUGAAAGGAAGAAAUAUAAUUCACAGAGCACUUGCUCUGUUUUUCCUUCAUAUAAUUGUUUUCUCGUUAGUUUUCUUACUAGCCAAACAAGCUUUGAGGAAGUUUCCUCAGAGAAUGAGUGGCUAGACUUUUAGUUCCUUGGAGUUAAGGUUGCCGGGAAAGGUUCCAAGUGCAUGAAUUAGUAGCUUUGUGGUUUCAGUCAUUAAUGAAGAGAAAGUGUGAUCCUUAAAUGAUUUCUAUGUUUUUAGUUAACAUAAAACACCUUCAAGUCACUUGAGCCAACACUUGGUAAGGCACGUGAUCUCCGUCCAUGAAGAUGCACUUGUUUAUCUCUUGCAAGCUUUUGGGAAGUGACUUGGAGGUAGGAUUUUCUAGAAUUGCCAACACUUGGUAAGCUUUUGGAUUACAAUGAGACAUCCAUUAGUUAUCUCUUGCGAGCUUGAGAAAGGAAGUCCAAAGUUAAAGAUCACCUUGAAUGGCAAAUGCUAGGUGAGAGGCACGAGCCAUUACAAGUUGCAUCAGUGAGAGAGAAUUAGAGUUGAAAUCCAUUUAAAGGUUACAUCUGUACAACACCGGUUAGAGAAUUGACUAUAUGUUAAUUCUCUAAUGCGAGGAAAUGAACCAAAUGACCAGAGCUCUGUUUUUGCAUAAGGAACCUUCCCUGUGAACCUAAACCUCCAAGGAAUGUUUUUCUUCAUAAGUAAUUUCCAUUACUUUCUUUUUGGUUAGUUUAAGACCAAACCCUUUUCACUCAAACAUCUUUAUGUUUUCUUUUAAAGCUAACCUUGAAAUGAAAAAGUACCAACUCAGCUUUGAAUUGGUAUCAGUGGAGAGUUGAAAACCCUUCCCAGUGAAUGCUCCUAGAGCCACUAUACUAUAUUAGCUAAAGCUAUCCUAAUGCAUGGUGAUAUAGGUUAUAAAUUUUGUUGAUCACUUCCUCAGUCAAGGAGCACCAGCUGGACAUGAAUCAGCUGAGACACCAAUUGGGAACGAAUCAAUAUAACAGAGUAAUAUUCAUUUAUAUUUAUUGAUAUAUAUUUCUUGGUUUCCCUUUAUUAUCUCAUAUGUGUUAAUUGAUUAUUUAAGCAUACACGCCCUACAUCACUUACAUUGUACAUGAUUUGGGUGCAUUAAAAGUUUCAUAGAAGAUCUAGGUCAUGGGUUUUUUUUAGGAUGAUGAGUUGUCUAUAGUUGGUUCAUGAAUUUAGGCAAUCAAUUUAAGAUUAUAAUGCACUACCUCCUGAUUGAAGGGAUGACUUAUCUUAGUCAUCGAGAUGGUUUUUUCAUGGUGAACACAAUAAUAUAUGUGAUGCACAUUGAAUAAGACUUAUAAUGAAUCAUGAUUCAAGGCUAUCUUGAUAGGUGAUAACACUCUCUUCUUAGAUUAUGGAUAUUAGUUCAUGGGGAGUCUGCAUGGAAUAAAUAUUAAGACACAAACCCAAGCUUUCGUUUUAUUGUAAUAACAUAGGAUACUAAAGUGCAAUUAAUUUUCUUUAGUGGAAUGUUAAAUCAACUUCAGAAUUGGAUUUUGAGGAAGCCAAUAUUUUUUUAUGGAUCCCAAUAGUUCUCACUCGAACUUCUAAAUCAAGGAAACACAUUUGUUUUAAGGAUAUUAGGUUUUAGGGUUCAUAAGUGUGCAUAAGAGUGUUUUGGUAAAAAUACAAGUUGCACUAGAUCAUAGAAAUUAACUUUUUGGCAUAGGUUAAUUAACUAAUUGGAGCCCAAUAGGGCUAAUUAAUUAAUUAGGAUCCAAGUGGGCUAGAUUAGGUUGUCCAAGCCUAAUUGAACUUAAGUUACUUAAGCCCACUAAGAGUCCUAAUACCCCUAAGGGUUUCCUACACUCUUUUACUGUCUUUUUCCAAAGAGCCUCCAUAGAGAUUGAGAAACCCUACUUUUCAUCUAAGAGAGAAAAGUCCACUAUUUUCUUGUGCCUAGAGUGUUUUAAGGAGAGAUCAUUGGAAGGCUAAUAGGUAGACAACAUCUCCUACGAAUUCAGACUUGUUCUUCACCGCAUAAAUUAGAUUUGGGAACAUCUAGAUCUAGGUAUGGUUUCUUUUUUCUAGAUUAUUAUUUUAUUUGAUUUUUUUUUACCAUUGUUUCUACUAGAAUAGUUUCUAGAGAAGCCUAGGGUAGAUUACUUGCUCUCUAUUCGAUCCAGGGUAAGGAAACGAAUAAAUUCAGAGUUCUCAUCAGUUUCACAUUCUUAGAGCUUCUUCUAAACAUAUUUGGCAUCUUUUCUACCAUGAAUGACUACUCUUGCAACUUGUAUCUUUAAACCUAAGAUUUAACUAAAGAUGUAUCUUAGAUAGACAAAGUUUUUAUCAAUAAUUCAAAUUAAGUUGAGUGAGUUGAGCCUUUAUAUUGCAUAACUAAUUCUCAAUAUGUGCCAUUAAAACACAAUUUGUGGCUCUAAUUAACUAGGAAGCAUCUAUUGGAGUAAAUUGACAAUAAAUUGAUAGAAUCAAGAAAUUUUGAUAUGGAAAGUGGAAGUGAAAGAGAAAAUUCAUUUCAACAUCAAAUCAACAAUAGAGGACAAACCAAUAUCAUUUUCUAUGUCAAACUCCUUUAUGUCCCUUUUAGUAUUGCAUUCUCAAUCUAUUACCCUCGGAUAUUUGGAGAUUAACAUCCGAUGUUGAAAUUUCAAUAGAGAAUCGAUUCUAAAGUUGAUUUCAACCCAAUGUCAACUUAUUAUGACUUGUUUCCUUCUUUAAAAUUGCUUCUUCAUGAUUUUUUUUUUGUCAGUUUUAUAUUAUAUUUAGACUGUUCCUUGUAGGAUUAGGGUUAGGAUUUAUUUAUAUAUUUUAUGAUUAUUAAUAGGGAUAUAAAUGGGUUAAAGGAGGAUAACCUUUAAAACUUUAGUAUAUUUUAAACAAUUUUAUAAUGAAGGAAUAAGCCAAUCUUGGGUGCCAUGAUAUCAAUCCUUUCCUUAUCAUGGUAUAGAACUUUGGCAAGUAUUAGGUUGUUUCUAUCAAGCUUUAACUAAUGAACCUUAUCAAACUUUAGACAUAAUAUGUGAAGAGAGAAUUGUAAAGAUGGAAUCAACAUUGGCCAUGUACUUGUUGGAUUAUCUUACAUCAUGUACUAUAAAUCUUGAUCUUAUUUCUAAAAAAAACGAUAUGAGUUUGUGAAUGAAAAUGUUAACCCUAGCUAGAAGGGAGACACUCAAUCUCCUUCUAUUGCAUCAUCAAAUUCUCUUACUAUAUGAGGGUUCCACAUGAUCAACAACCCUUAGAAAAUGUGCAUAGUGAAUACGUACAUAUAGACCCAAUUAGAGGUAAUAGUCAACUUGGAAGCAACCGGUGUUGAGAUGGAAAUUAUCAAUGUCAGACCAAGUGAAUUUACUAACCAAGUAACUCAAGUUUUGGCUGAAUUUGCGCUUGAGACAAAUACCUUUUUCUAUCAUUGAAUACAAUCAGAAAAGUGUUGAAUGAAACUUAAGCUUAAUUAUCUAAAAAUAUUGAUGAGUUUGAUGUUAUGGGCCUUGUCACUAUUGCACAGGAUUUUGAACUUGAAAUUUUUUCUGAAAAUGUGCAAGAGUUCAUUUACAAAUAACUCACUAAUAUUGGGAGGGGUGAUACUAAUCAUCAAAUACACCAUGAGCAUACUAAUAAUUCUUCUUAUGAGUAUAAUGUUCACACACAAAACCAAUAUUUUUUCAUAUAUAAAAGAAGGUUUUUAUAGAAAAAUUGAAUGCAAAUCAUUACCUUUUAAUUUAAAUGUAUGCUAAGUCCCAAAUUACUUACCCAAACAUAAACUAAGUUCUCACUUAUGACCCAUGUAACAAGCUACACCAAGUAAGAAGGAUAGAACAAUUAGCUCAUAUGGAGGGCUCUCUAAUUUAAAAGACUACAAAUUGUCUAGGAUUCAAAGAAUGAUUAUAUUUAUUAUUGUAGUGGAAGGUAAUAAAAAAAGUCUUGAUAGUGGUUCCACUACUAAUAUAUCUACUGGUUUGAUCCUAAAUAUAUUUAUUUAGUGAAGAAUGUUGAAAAUAAAAAAUAAAAAUCGGAGGACCCAAGGGCAAUGGAAGUAAGGUGAAGGAGUUGAAAAUGCAUGAGAGUGCACAAGAACAUGAAAAGACAAGAAAAAUGUCAAAUUGAUACCCUAGAAUGCAAAUUGAUACCACGUUGAUUCCGACAUCAUAUAUUUAAUUUGACAAGAUACAAUAUGAGUGGAUGUAAAACAAUAUCUAUGCCAACAUAGAAAGAUAUUACACUUAGCAAAUCACCAAGUCCAAAUAAUAAAGAUGAAAUUAAGUAAAUGAAAAAUAUUCGUUAUGUGCAAGUAGUUGAAAGUCUAAUUAUACAAUGACUAGUACUAGGUCGGAUAUAUGUUGUAUCAUGGUAUUAGUUAGCAUAUACUAAACUAAUCUUAGCGAAGAGCAUUGGCCAGCUAUUAAAAGAGUAUUAAGAUAUAUUUAAGGUACUAAGAAAAAUAAACUAUGUUUUACAUAAGGUGAUUAAAAAAAUUAUGGGUAUUCGUAUGCAAAUUUUACCAGGGACCAUGAUGACUAAAAAUCUACUAGUGGUCAUACACUUUUAUUUAGAGGAGGUGCAACAUCAUGGUUAAGUAAAAAAGCAAACUUAUGUUGCUAGGCAUACAAUAGAAGCUAAAUAUGUAGCUUAUAGCUAGUAUGGCAACCACCCAAGCCUUUUGGAUUAAGCACUUAGCUGACAAUUUGAUAGUUAAGAAAUCAAGAGUUUAAGGUCAAAAUAGUAUUUUUGAAGAAAAAUAGCCAAAGUAGAUAUUCUCCCGAAAUAUUUGUCAAUCUAAUCUUUGCUAUCACAUGUUCAUUCAUGUAACUUUUUUUUUUUUUUUUGAGUAUAUAAAACCACAAUUGGUCAUUGUGAUUUUAGUUUUAAAUUUAAAAUCACAGUUACUAACUGUAAUUUUUAAAACAACAUACCACUUUAACAAAUAUUUUCAAUAUGAGAUUGAUAAUUUUUUUAAAAAAGAAAAACUACUUUGACCGAAAACUCAAGAAAACAAUUGAGCUUGUGAAUUUGCUGUGUGAUCAUAUGACUACAAUAUAUCAUUUAUUUGACACAUCAAGUUCAAAAGUGAAACACAUUCAUGUGAGUUGAUAGAUUGGAUUGAUUGGAUUAUAGUUUUCCAUAUAAUUGAAAAGUUGUAAAUCUUUGUUAAAGAUUCCAACUUUUUAAAAAGGGAUGCAAUAGUUGAUUGUCAAAAGAUAUUUAUCUAAAUAUUUAUCUAAUUAAAUAAGUGUCUUUUCAAUGGCUAUGUGUUAAAAUUGAAACAUUGUGAUUGAAUAGAUAUGAGAAUAUAUUUGAAAAAGCAUAACUUUUAGUAUUAAUAGAUACAUGUAAGUCAAAUUUGUAGUUCUCUCAUUCAUAUCUAUAAUAGGUUUCUAUUGAUUUUGUAAGAGUCAUACUUCGUUUUCUUCUAUUUUUUUCCCCUUCUUUGACAAUGUCUACACAAUAGCCUCCCACCAAUAGUCCAUCCAAGAUAUAACAUCAGAAAAACUUUCUUGACAAAUUGGGCAGAUCAAGAAAACAACAGUAACUAUUGCAGCAGAAGCUUACAAAUUAUAAAUAGGAUCAACACAAUUUUAGGAAGAAGGCAUUUGGUAGUUGCUAUUCUAUUAAAGCCACUUCUGAUGAAUAAAAGCAGUUGAAAGUUGGUGUAUCAUUUUUGUUGGAUGUCAUCACAUAUGGUGAUUGUGGUAAAUGAUGAAAUAGUCAAUGUUUUCAUAAUUCAAUCAUUGGCAUUGAACUAAAAAAGUUAUUAAUUUAUAAUUUAUAAAUUUGAUAAGUAGUGAAAUCAUGAUGUUAACAUGAUACCAUAAAUAUAUAAUUUAUAUUUUAUUAAAAUUUAAAAUAUAUAAAUUAUUGAAAACUUUAAUAAUAUUCAUUUUUUCUUUGACAUUAUUCAAUUAAAUUAUGAUAAAAAUAAAUAUAAAUGUAUUGAUAUUUUAAAUUUUAUUAAAUAAAACAUUUAUAAUAUUUAAGUAUAAAGAUAUUUUCAAAAUGAAAAGAAAAUACAAUUGUUUAUUGUUUUAUAAUUUUGGUUGAGGUUGGAAUCCCAUUGCUGCAAAGAAAUUAAUUAACUUCUGUAAAUUUCUCUAUCUUUUAUAACCUAUCGCUCAAGUACUAUGAUGGGUUAGUGAAUACUUAAUUUGGAGGUUUGAUUCAUUGACGAUUGAUUUAAUUAACUCUAUGUAGAACCCUUAAUCAAAUAUUGAGAUUAAUAAUGUUUUCAAUGUUUAAGAUUUGAAUUUGAAACAGUUUCGCAUUUUUAGAAAAUUGAGAUCCUAUUCCCGUUGAGAUCUGAUCUUAGGAGCAUACUUAUUCCCAUUGAAUUUCAUUUAUUUUGUGUUGAGAUUUUUGUUGAAACUAUGUUUUUAAAGUAUAGGGAUUGAAAGCUACAAUAAAGUAUCAAUGGGGUGACUGUUAUAAUUAUAUAGGAGCAUCAUCCAGGCCUGCACCAACUUACAAAUCCACAAGGGACUAUUUCUAUACUUGGUUUGCACUAGAUUGCAAAUUAGUGAGGAAUCAUCUCAUUGAAAUCAUCCCCAAGCCUACAUAAGCACAAAAAUGAAUAAGAGUCCAUCUUAGUCCCCAAUUGAUCCUUCCUGGUUCUUUUUAUGUUAAGCCCUUAGGUAAUUUCCAACCUUAUUUUGAUUUAGAAGUAAUUUUUUUUUUUUUUUUUUUGUAGCUCUUAUAUAGUUUUCCACAUAGGCCCCUAUUUUUAUUUAAAACUUUAGUAUAUUUUAAACAAUUUUAUAAUGAAGGAAUAAGCCAAUCUUGGGUGCCAUGAUAUCAAUCCUUUCCUUAUCAUGGUAUAGAACUUUGGCAAGUGUUAGGUUGUUUCUAUCAAGCUUUAACUAAUGAACCUUAUCAAACUCUAGACAUAAUAUGUGAAGAGAGAAUUGUUAAGAUGGAAUCAACAUUGGCCAUGCACUUGUUGGAUUAUCUUACAUCAUGUACUAUAAAUCUUGAUCUUAUUUCUAAAAAAAACGAUAUGAGUUUGUGAAUGAAAAUGUUAACCCUAGCUAGAAGGGAGACACUCAAUCUCCUUCUAUUGCAUCAUCAAAUUCUAUUACUAUACAAGGGUUCCACAUGAUCAACAACCCUUAGAAAAUGUGCAUAGUGAAUACGUACAUAUAGACCCAAUUAGAGGUAAUAGUCAACUUGGAAGCAACCGGUGUUGAGAUGGAAAUUAUCAAUGUCAGACCAAGUGAAUUUACUAACCAAGUAACUCAAGUUUUGGUUGAAUUUGCGCUUGAGACAAAUACCUUUUUUCUAUCAUUGAAAACAAUCAGAAAAGUCUUGAAUGAAACUUAAGCUUAAUUAUCUAAAAAUAUUGAUGAGUUUGAUGUUAUGGACCUUGUCAUUAUUGCACAAGAUUUUGAACUUGAAAAUUUUUCUGAAAAUGUGCAAGAGUUCAUUUACAAAGAACUCACUAAUAUUGGGAGGGGUGAUACUAAUCAUCAAAUAGGUACACCAUGAGCAUACUAAUAAUUCUUCUUAUGAGUAUAAUGUUCACACACAAAACCAAUGUUUUUUCAUAUAUAUAAAGAAGGUUUUUAUAGAAAAAUUGAAUGCAAAUCAUUGCCUUUUAAUUUAAAUGUAUGCCAAGUCCCAAAUUACUUACCCAAACAUAAACUAAGUUCUCACUUAUGACCCAUGUAACAAGCUACACCAAGUAAGAAGGAUAGAACAAUUAGCUCAUAUGGAGGGCUCUCUAAUUUAAAAGGCUACAAAUUGUCUAGGAUUCAAAGAAUGAUUCUAUUUAUUAUUGUAGUGGAAGGUAAUAAAAAAAGUCUUGAUAGUGGUUCCACUGCUAAUAUAUCUACUGGUUUGAUCCUAAAUAUAUUUAUUUAGUGAAGAAUGUUAAAAAUAAAAAAUAAAAAAUAAAAAUCGGAGGACCCAAGGGCAAUGGAAGUAAGGUGAAGGAGUUGAAAAUGCAUGAAAGAGUGCACAAGAACAUGAAAAGACAAGAAAAAGGUCAAAUCAUACCCUAGAAAGCAAAUUGAUACCAAGUUGAUUCAGACAUCGUAUAUUUAAUUUGACAAGAUACAAUAUGAGUGGAUGUAAAGCAAUAUCUAUACCAACAUAUAAAGAUAUUACACUUAGCAAAUCACAAAGUCCAAAUAAUAAAGAUGAAAUUAAGUAAAUGAAAAAUAUUCAUUAUGUGCAAGUAGUUGAAAGUCUAAUUAUACAAUGACUAGUACUAGGUCGGAUAUAUGUUGUAUCAUGGUAUUAGUUAGCAUAUACUAAGCUAAUCUUAGCGAAGAGCAUUGGCCAGCUAUUAAAAGAGUAUUAAGAUAUAUUUAAGGUACUAAGAAAAAUAAACUAUGUUUUACAUAAGGUGAUUAAAAAAAUUAUGGGUAUUCGUAUGCAAAUUUUACCAGAGACCAUGAUGACUAAAAAUCUACUAGUGGUCAUACACUUUUAUUUGGAGGAGGUGCAACAUUAUGGUUAAGUAAAAAAGCAAACUUAUGUUGCUAAGCAUACAAUAGAAGCUAAAUAUGUAGCUUAUAGCUAGUAUGGCAACCACCCAAGCUUUUUGGAUUAAGCGCUUAGCUGACAAUUUGAUAGUUAAGAAAUCAAGAGUUUAAGGUCAAAAUAGUCUUUUUGAAGAAAAAAUAGCCAAAGUAGAUAUUCUCCCAAAAUAUUUGUCAAUCUAAUCUUUGCUAUCACAUGUUCAUUCAUGUAACUUUUUCUUUUUUUUUUGAGUAUAUAAAACCACAAUUGGUCAUUGUAAUUUUAGUUUUAAAUUUAAAAUCACAGUUACUAACUGUAAUUUUUAAAACAACAUACCACUUUAACAAAUAUUUUCAAUAUGAGAUUAGAUUGAUAAUUUUUUUUAAAAAGAAAGACUACUUUGACCAAAAACUCAAGAAAUCAAUUGAGCCUGUGAAUUUGCUGUGUGAUCAUAUGACUACAAUAUAUCAUUUAUUUGACACAUCAAGUUCAAAAGUGAAACACAUUCAUGUGAGUUGAUAGAUUGGAUUGAUUGGAUUAUAUUUCCCAUAUAAUUGAAAAGUUGUAAAUCUUUGUUAAAGAUUCCAACUUUUAAAAAGGGAUGAGUAGUUGGUUGUCAAAAGAUACUUAUCUAAAUAUUUAUCUAAUUAAAUAAGUGUCUUUUCAAUGGCUAUGUGUUGAAAUUGAAACAUUGUGAUUGAAUAGAUACGAGAAUAUAUUUGAAAAAGCAUAACUUUUAGUAUUAAUAGAUACAUGGCUAGAUACAAGUCAAAUUUGUAGUUCUUAUAGGUUUCUAUUGAUUUUGUAAGUCAUACUUUUUUUCUUCUAUUUUUUUCCUAUCUUUGACAAUGUCUACACAAUAGCCUUCCACCGGGAGUCCAUCCAAGAUAUACCAUCAUAAAAACUUUCUUGACGAAUUGGGCAGAUCAAGAAAACAACAGUAACUAUUGCAACAUAAGCUUACAAAUUCUAAAUAGGAUCAACAUAAUUUUAGGAAGAAGGCAUUUGGUAGUUGCUAUUCUACCAAUGCCACUUCUUAUGAAUAAAAGCAGUUGAAAGUUUGUGUACCAUUUUUGUUGGAUGUCAUCACAUAUGGUGAUUGUGGUAAAUGAUGAGAUAGUCAAUGUUUUCAUAAUUCAAUCAUUGACACUAAACUAAAAAAAAAAAUUUAAUUUAUAAUUUAUAAAUUUGAUAAGUAGUGAAAUUAUGAUGUUAACAUGAUAUCAUAAAUAUAUAAUUUAUAUUUUAUUAAAAUUUAAAAUAUAUAAAUUAUUGAAAACCUUAAUAAUAUUUAUUUUUUCUUUGACAUUAUUCAAUUAAAUUAUGAUAAAAAUAAACAUAAAUGUAUUGAUAUUUUAAAUUUUAUUAGAUAAAACAUUUAUAAUAUUUAAUUAUAAAUAUAUUGUCAAAAUGAAAAGAAAAUACUAUUGUUUAUUGUUUUAUAAUUUUGGUUGAGGUUGGAAUCCCAUUGCUGCAAAGAAACUACUGUAAAUUUCUCUAACCUUUAUAACCUAUCGCUCGAGUACUAUGAUGGGUUACCAGCCCAUGAAAGGAUUUUCGCGCCCACGAGACCCAUACUUGGGCCAUGCACUAACUUCUCCAUUUGGGCUGCAAAACUUGUCCAAAUUGGCCCGCCUGGUCCCCCGUAUCCGUGUCCGGUUUGUUAGGACAACGAAUCAAAAGGGAGAAUCAGAUGGGAAAGAUGUCCAGGUGAUGGUCCAACCAGUUGAACUGGUUGCUUUAGUCCGAUUUUGAAAACAUUGGAUAAAGCAGCUGGGUAUACAAACUUGCUUUGGUUGGUUUACUUUUCUAUCUAUUUUUAGGCACAGAUGGCUAUUCUUGGGCUACAGCAUUACCCAUAUAAGAUCCAUAUUCUGAAAUGUAAUUUUCAACAUCCAUUGUAUUUAUACUUGACGGUCUUUCCUUGUUUAUUCUUCAUUGUAGUCUCAUGCUCCUCUGCAACCAGCUUUCUUGUCCACAUAAAAUGUGGUCUCUUGAUUGAAAUUACUCCACUGGUUGCUCUAAUAAGGAUGGUAGAGGCAUGAAAUAUUCUGACAAUUUCUCUUGUAGUUGGGGAGUUGACCUAAAAAGCAAGAACAUACCGCACCUGUAUAGGAAGUUCCUGAAGAGAAGAAGAAGAAGAAGAAGAAAGGAAAAUAAAAAUAAAAAUAAAAAAACAAAACAAAACAAAAACCUUGGAACGUGAACAGUUAGCCAAUUAAAAUUGCUGUAGUUGAUUAGAUGUGUCCAAAAAAAAAUAACUAACAAUUUUUUACCAAUUAUAUGAUUUAAAAGACCCUAAAUCAUAAUUAAUCUCUCCAAUUUAAAUGUUCAAGCUGUGGUAGGUGAAAAGUCAUUCCUUCUAGAGACGUCUCACCUACUACGAUAAUAAAAGCAUUUUUCAAGCAUUGCUCUGGUUCAAAAUGCGCACCAGCGUUUCCCCCUCAAGGACUGUUGCUCCAUCUUUGCUACUAGCACUGAUGAAGAUCAUGGUGACGAUGCGUCUAUUUAAGCAUGAAAAUUUAAUGGUAGGGACAUUCAAUGUUAGGUGGAGUGAAAUGGUCUUUAUAUGAUUCAAAACGGUAACGAUAGAUGUAAAUAUUUGAUCUUUCAAUGAUGCCUUCUGUUCUGUGAUGUGUAAAAUUGCCUUAUGUUCCAGUCAAGAAAGGAUUAAUUGCUUUUGCCUUGGGCAGUUAUGUCCAAUUUUUCGACCCAUCACAUGUUAGGCAACAAAUUAACUUAGCUACUAGAAGGGUGGAAAAGAAGUGACACCAGCACUGAUGGGAGUGGUUGAACUACCCUACAUCCUUGUUAUUAUCCUAAUAUACAACUUCAUCUUCCUUUUUUGGAGCCAUGGUUUUAUGGUUUUUAAUACACCCGUGGCAGGGAAAAAGCAAAUAAUCCCAGUUAGGUAUUAAUCAAUUGAUUAAGAUCAUAGCAUAUAUAUGCUACUUUUUGAGGAAAAGUGCGACAAGGGCCUGUACUGAUCAUGUCAUACAUGUAUCAUCUUUGUCGAUCGGAGACCAAAUAAGAGAGUGGCUCCAUACAUGAUCAUGCAUAUGCUUUGGACUGGCUGAAGGGCAACUCAUAUUCCGGACAUGGAAAAAAGAAUAUGAAGCAUAUAUAUGACAAUAACAGCAGGAAGAAGCCAGAAGAAGAAAGAAAUGGGCCAUUUUACGUCGCAUCCACUGAUAUGCAUUGUUUUAACGACUUCUUUUUCCACCUGCUUCAGAGCCGUCUUCUAUGAAGCGGCAUGCAAAGGUCAAAUUUCAUACUUUAAGAAUUAUUGAUCAUAUAGGAAACUGAAAGUAUGUACUUAAUUGGUGUGUAUAUGUUGAUGCAAAGAAUGAAAUCCUAAUUCGAAUGUAUUCCGUCCUCAUUUAUUAUGCUUGCCACCUAUUCAGGGGGAAGUUGUGUUUUGGUCUGAGUGUGCAUGAUUGCUUGGCACAUGCCUACCGGCUGGCGUGAAUGAUUGUUCGGGUCUGCACAUGUCUAUCAAUUUCUUGCUUCCGAAUCAUUCCUCUUGUGGGACUUUUUUUGCCUUCCUGGAUCAACGUCACUGCCAAAUAUAUGCUGACCACAUGUGUCUUUGUGUUCUUUAUAGAUUGCUUAUGGCUUCUCUAAAGAGAUAUCAUCCUCAGAGAUCAAGUUUAUCACUCAAUUUACCACAUGAUUUCACCCGUAUCCACAGCCAUAAUUGCUUGGUAAGCUUACGUACAUGAUAAAGAUGACAAUGAUACCUCUGGAUAAUGCCAUUUAAAUUCCAUGUGCGACCUCCAUGCGCCAAGCCAUUGCUUUGUGGCAACACAAACGCAUGAUCAAGGGCUACCGUGCAAUCAUAUAUUGUUCUGCUGUCCUCUUUAUGGCAUUUGGAUUUUGAAUCCUAACCAUUAUUUACACAAUAAAAAUGAUAAACCCUAGAGUCAAUUUUUCAUGUUUCUUUAUUUCUGCAAUAAAAGUAAGCUCUGAUGUGAGAUAUCAUCCCAUCUGUGGAAUCAGAAGUAGAGCAACAGUUUCAUGUAAAUAGAAUGGAUCAACAAACUUUUCUUUCAUGCCCACACUCUCUGUGUACAAGAUGGAAAUCUGUCCCACAACACAAGUAGUGGGCGAAAUUCAUUAAAGUUUUGGCAGCUCAUGAUGGAAAAGGAACCGUACAUAAAUUGAUUUGGUUGACCCAUUAAUUAAGCAUAUCUCAUCAAUAAAGACAGGUAAUAUGGAUCUGAAUUUCUAUUAAAAGAAAACGCAUCUUACCUCCAAUGCACCGAAAUAAUGUGUCUGAUAAGAUCCUUGAUUUCCAUCUAAUGGCACUCUUUUUCAUUAGACGGUUUUCUGAAAAAGUAAGGCUAUGGUGAACUGAGUAGUGAUGAUCCCAGUGCAGGAAGCAAUUUUGCAGGAAAAUAUUUUAUAGCAUAACAAAUUAAUAUGGAGCUUCCUCACAGUGGAGUAUUAAUUUAUCUAUCUAGUAAAUGGAGAAACAAAUUAUUGUGGUACCAUGAAACUGGUUCCGUCUACUUUUCUCCUUUGAAGGCUGAAUGAAUUCCUGACUUUGUGAAUGUAGAUGUAUACUUGAACUUAGGAGUCCUUAAUGAGAAACAAGAGGAUAAUUUUGACCAGUCAUUGCAUAGCGAUCUGGAAAGCUGUGAUUAUGCCCAGAAAUUGCCCCCUUCGUCUCUCUCACACACUCGCGGAGAUGCUCUUUCAUAUAGAAAAAGGACACCCACACUGAGAUAUUCUGCAACAAGGGAAACUACAAAACAAUAUCAUAAUGUGGGCACAUCUCAUAGUUGUGAGGGUUCAUCUGAGCAUAACCAUAAACACCCCAACUCAACAUUAACUUGUCUUUUCUGCUCAUACUGUAUCAUAUAUUGGAUUCACAUGGGGUCAGGAAUCCAAAAGAGACUGCAUAUCUAGCUACACCAAAAAAAAAAAGGUGGGGAAAUGAAGAAGGGAGAGAGAGAGAGAACUUAUUCAAAUUCACAUCAACAAUCCUCCUUGUCAUGGAGGUAGCGUGGCUGCUUUUUAAUUUAAUUUUCUGUGUACUUCAACAGAAAUUCCAAGAAAAAUAAAGUGUUUUAAGUUCCGACAGACACUAUCUACCGAGAAAUCAAUUGAGCCUUUGAGUUAAGCAUUGUUAGGGCCUAUCACAAUAAAAAAUCAUGUUGUGAUUUGUUUACUAUUAUCUUCAGCAUGACAAGGGUCUGCAGACCAGUAUUGCCAUUUUAUAUGAUUGAUUAUCACUACACAAAGAAGGGUCAACUAAAUCAGUUCAAGGACGAGCUAAGGCAGAUAUAUAGACAGAAUAUUGACUAUUAGCCUUACAGCAUGUGGACUUACAGAUCAUAGCUGUAUUAAAUUAUUAAGCUAAUUAGAGAUUCCUUGAGUUCUUGGGAGUCAAACAAGAAGCAUCUUUUUUUUCUUAGAAAUUAAUGUAAAUAAUCUGACGAGAUCAUAAACAAUCAACACAUGAAUCUCUACUUUCCUCAUUAAUCUCUGCAUAUAGUUCAUUUGAUCUUUGCUGGUCUGAUUUGAAACUCAUUAGAAAAAGAAAAAGAAAAACCCACUAGAGUCCCUAUUUUCCAGCCAUGGUUUACAGACAUGAAGCUGUGGUCCAUUGCCAGAAAAAGCAGGCUCCACCUAUAAAAAAAAAACCAUUUAUAAUAUUGAUUCUCCAACCCAUAAAAGCCAACAGUGGAUGCAAAGAAUCAGGUUCCCAUUUAUUUUUUACUGGGUUCAUCUCCUUUUCAAUUGAGUGCCCAGAGAAAUCUCAUGGGAGCAUUAUAGAAGAUAAGGACAACUGCACCAAACCUAGUGGGACGAGGAAGAUACUGAACUAUUUUGUAAGGUAGGGGACUGUUUCAACGCGCUUCGAAGAUCUCCAUGACUCUAAAGUCUAAACAAAGCAGAAAAUUAAAUAUAGGAAACGCGGGAAACAAUAAAGGAAAGAGCUAGCCACACGACUUGCAGUCUUGUUCAAUCUUCAUAGAAUAUUUAUUACUUCGCUUGAGGUUUGUAUGGGCUUCCUGCUCUAUUUUAGAAAUCGUAUAUUUGAAGGAAAGAAAAAAAAAAAUCUCUGCUGCAUUCUGUGAAUGUCUCUGUCAUGCGUGGCUGGGGUUUCUUUGGAUAAGAUCAGUUGAUUCACUUGUGCUCAUAGCUUGUACGUGAGAUUUAAUUUUCUGGUUGGAAAAUAAAGCUGUGAUGGAAUAUAUGGUCAUGAAUAUGGGCCGGAACCCCAUCACAGACCCUCAUCAUAAAACAUACGGGUCAUGUUAUGAGUUAUGACAACAUCAUAGAAUGAUGUUAUGGAUCAGUAGCGUCGAGAGAGGUAGCUAGCUAGUAAUAUAGAAAAGCUCCAAAUUAAGAAAUGAGAACCCCAAGCUCAAUGUAAAAUGCUGCAGAGCUCUAGUUUUACUUUUAGGCAAAAUGGGAAUGAGCUUUGAAAUUAAAAAUAAUUUCAUUCUCAAGUGUAAUUUUCUGAUUAUAUGGAGACCAAAUUAGGAAAGAAACCAUAAAGAGUAGGUCUCCACUUUUUUCUGGUUCAAAAACCCAUUGCUCUGGAUACGAGGAGUCCAUCCCACAUUAAUGAUGAUGCAGCAUGCAUGCAUGGGGUAGCCGAGGGCCAAACUGCUUUGCGAGUCUUAGAGUGUAUUAUUAUUGUGCAGAUAAAGAUUGCCAAAUUUAGGCCCAUAUGGGCUCCCACACCAACUUUAGGAAUUACGAGUCUUCUUUUGCUUGAUUUCCUUUUCAUACACCCACUUAACUCAAAUUUAUCCAAUCUUCAAAUUUCUAAAAUUUUCUACUCCAUUCAUUCUCAAGAGAAGGAAAGGCUGAAAAUUAUUUGAAAAUAGAUUUUUUUUUUCCUUCUUUCUUUCUUUCUGUCACUCAUUGUCAACAUUAUCCCUUUUCAAAGGGAGCCAAACAAAAAAGGACCAAUACUUAAAAAAAAAUAAAUAAAUAAAAUAAAAUAAAUGGGUGUGAUGAAUUAAUACUGAGAGGGUCAAGGCUCUUAAAUGAAAGUAAGUAACUUACCAAACAGAAGAAUAAAAAUGAAACAAGACGUACAAGGAGCAGCAGCUACCCCCAACAAGGAAAAUAAUAAAAAUGAAGGUGGUUCAUUAAACAUUGAAAAUUGUACAAUCUCUACUUCCUCACUAUGCUCAUCAGAUUUAAUGGCCAUUUAAUUUCUUGCAAUAAAUUUGUUUCUAUGUCCAACACAGCUGUACAAUCUUCUGAUUACUCCUGAGCAACACAAAUUUGUAAGCAUAUAGUUAUGAGAACCUACCAACCAAAAAAUAUCAAGCUACGCUUGCAAUAAAAUAUGAUUUUUUUUCCAAAGUACUUCUAUAAAAUGAACGACCAGCUGUACACUGACAGAAAGCGUAAUAUUACUAAUGUUUUAAUAUAGAAAAAAAAUAAAAUAAUAAAAUAAUGAUAUAAUUUUAAUGGGUUUGACUUCCAAACUGCCUUUAAAACAUUGUGACUAAAUAGUUAAGAUACAAGGAACAAGCAUCAUUUGUUGUCACAUGUAAGGGGAGUCCAUUAAAAGAAUAUGAACAAAAGAGAAAAAACAUUAUUAAUUAUCCUUUUUAAAAUAAAUUCGAAAAAUGUGAACAAAUUAAUUUAGAAAAAAUUGGCCAAAAGAAUGAAACCUUUCCUUGUAUAAAAUCAAUUAUUAUUUCUAUAUAUACGCCAACAAUUUUUGUUUGAUUUCAUAAAAGAAAUUAUUGAAUUCAAUGAAUUAGAGGGCAGUAGACAAAAACAUUUUUAAAAAUGAUUGUUGUUCAUAAAAUGCAAAAUCGUGUUUCCUUUACUCAAUAAUACGUUCAAUUUUGCCUAAGCAACAACUUUCACGAGUGAGUAUGUUUUGAAGUGAUGGAAUGAAAAUAUUAUUUUGGGUUUUAAAAGUUAACAAAUAAUUCACUAAUGCCUUUGAAAACGAAAGGAAUUGAAAUCAAACUAUAAACCAUAUAGUGAAAGGCAUAUUUGAAAGGAAUUGGGAAAGACAAUGUGACCAAAUUUGGAAUUGGAAUGGGGGAUAAACAGAGGAAAGUGCAAAAAUGAGUGCAUGAUGAUGAUGAUUCAGUGUUGAAGAAUGUCUUAUGCCAAUUCCGUAAGGUAGUAGACAAGUUGUAUUACUUUAUAUUUUUAGAUGGGGCCAUCCCCCUCACCCACUCUCUCAUUGCCCUCAGUUCUAAGCUAUCGUCUGCCUCAGAUAAAACCGGUUCUGAUCUUUCUGUUUCCCUCCUUUCUUUAUUUCUUUUCUUUUCUUUUCUUUUCUUUUUUUAUCAGACUGUAAAACUGCAAACCUCAAGUGCAAUGUUUUUUAAAUGGAUUGAUAUUAAUCUCUUUUAAUUUUCUAUUAUUUAUAUCUACAUUAAGUAGCAUAGGGUAGCUAUAGAAACUUUAGGAUAACUUUAGUAAAGGCAUUGAAACAUAUACAUCGUUUUUUUCUUUUUUUCUUUUUUUCUUUUUUAAGUGUAGUAAUUUUUUGAAUAGUUAGUGUAAAAAAAAAGUGAAUUGAGUUUUUUGAAAAGAUAAAUUUAGUAUAAAAAUUUUAUAAGAAUUCACAUUUUUAAAAAUGAACUCUUUGAUAAUGAAAAAAUGAGAGUUAUCAAAUAAAGUGGGCCAAUGAUGAUAAUAAUCAGGAUGGGUCAUUUUAUCUUAUAAAUCCCUACAAAUGACCAAAAUUAUUAUCAGUUUUUUUUACCAUUUGAAUGACUUUUUAAAUUGUGGCUUGAUAGAAAUAAGAGAGAAAGAAAAGUAAAAUUCUCUAGUUCACUUCACGAUUGAAAUUUGCAACUUGAUCAAUAUAUGACUUAUUAUAAACAAGAGAGAAGGAAAUCAAAUUCAAGCUUUAAAUUUUCACAUUCCCAUCUUCUUGUCGUACUAGUCUCCUUUUCCUUCUUUAUAAAUGACAAUGUGGAGAAGUUUAAGAAAACCCUUCUUCAAAAGGUACGCUAAUUUCUUUCUCUUCAUAGAUAUUUUUAUUUUUGUUUAAGAAAUUCAUUUUAUAGAGAUUUCAAUUUUUAGGAUUUUAUUUUGGGCAUUUGAAAAUCCUUUUAUAAUAAUUUCACUUUGGGUAUAUGAAAAAUCACUUUAUUGUGAUUUGAAUUUCUAAGGUUUGAUUUUGAUAAUUAGAGAAAUCUCAUUUUCUUAAGAUCCAUUACAAAACAAAGUAGUGUAGUUUAAAAAAUUUGUUUAUAACUUAAACAUCAAAUUUUUACAUGAAAAAUUGUAAUAUCUUUUGUUUCAUGAUUUAUAUAUAUAUAUAUAUAAAUUAUAUUUUUACUACUAUCAUUUUCAUCCUUUGUUUUCUCUUCUUGUUUCAACCUUCAUAUCUUUUUUUUAUAUGCAUUUUUGGAGGUCUCUUUGCAUUUUUAACCCUGUUUUUUCUUUUUCUUUUUUGUUUUUUUUCAAUUUUAGGGUUGAUUUUCAGGGUAAGUACUCAUAUCUAAAUUUUAGAUUUUUAUUGCUUUAAUUAAUGUCCUUGCCUUAUUUUUCAAUUUGUGAUUUAUGUAAUUGGUAAUUGAGAUACUUUUUAUAUAAGUAUAUUGAGCGGAUAACAAAAAUUUCUAUAUAUGAACUAAGAUUCUCUAUGGAGGUCCUCAAAGCACUCUUUGUUUUUAUAGAAAAAGUUCCCUUUUUCAGGUUUUGUUUUUUUUCCUUUAAGACUCCAUUUAUGAAAUAUGGGAAAAAGAAAGUUGUCAUGCAUUUUCAAUAGUUUUAUGAAUAAAAUAAGUAUUUAAUCCUAAAAUUUGUUUAUACAUUUAUUCCCUUUUUUAUGUUAAGGUCCUCAAAGAUAUUUUUGUUUCAAAAAAAAAAUAUAGUUAAGUGAAAUUAACUUUUCUUGAAUUUUCUCUUAUUUCGAGCUCUAUUUAUAAAACCUAAGAGAAAAAAAAUUGCCAUGCAUUUUCAAUAGAUUCAAAAGUAAAAUAUGUGUUUAAGUCUGAAAUUUGUUUAUACAUUUAUAUAAUAUGUUUCUUUCUUUUCUAAUAUGAUGAUCAUUUUUUGGAAAAAAAAACUUGUGCUUAAAAAAGUACUUAGUUGGUACUUUGGUUGGAGACUGUCAUUGGCACACGACUUGAUACUCAAGUUCAUUGCAAGCUUACUGAUUUAAAAACACAAACUAUUGAUCAGGUUUUGUGAAUCAAUAAUAUGAAUUGGCAAUAGUUAGUAGUGCAACAAUGUUACUACACAAAGCUUUUAGUCUAAGGCAACACUCUUAUUUUUUAAAAUAUAUCACCGAAGAACAAUAAAAUGGUCAUGUGAGAGUGAUUAAUGCAUGUUGGCGUGUAUUUUACUUUGUAUUAUUACUAACCUUCUUUGAAAAACAUUGGUUUUGCUCCUAGAUCAUAAUCAAAAUAGUGAAUUAGAACAUAUGGAACCAUCUCUUUAUCUUUCUAUCAAGAAAAAAUAUGGUAGAUUAAUUGAUAUAUCAUUUAAUGAAAGAGCCCAAUGCAAAAAAAAAUGCAUGUUGGGUCUUUGAAACAGUUCAAAUCAUUUUGAUUUGUUUUAUCGAGGUCUAUAGUUCGAGUCCAUAAAACCCUAAUAUAAUAAAUAAGCCCUAUAAAAUAAAAAAAAUAUGAAAAAUAAUAUAUAUAUGAUUAUUAGUCCAUUUAAUGUAGAUUUGGAUUACUUUACAUAUACAUUAUUUUUAUACAAAAUAUAUGAAUGACAAUAAUAUACUACGCUUAUAAUAUAAAUAUACUAAUAUUAUAAUAUAUUAUGACAUGACCUAAUUAGAAGCUUUUGAACUUGUUUACGAAAGUGACAAUUAUGGUUCAUUAUUUUAUACUCUUUGACAUAUUGUACGUCAUAAAAAAAACUUAGAAGUGAAAUAUAGUAUCAAUUUGAAUUCACAAGACACAUAGGUUUUUUCUUUUUAUUUUAUAAAAUUCAUUAUGUAAUAAUUUUAAUGCAUUGAGUGAAUGAUGCUCAUACACUAGUGUGUUAUGUUAGAUGCCAAUAAGUAUAAAAAGACAUCGUUACUUGUAUUAUAAAAUUUUGGUAAUGACAAAAAUGCAUUACACUUACAAUAUAAAGAGACUCAUUACUAUACAUUACAACAUGACUUAAUUUAUAAAGUUUUAAAUUUUUUUUAUGCAAUUGUUAGGUAUAGGUUACUUUGUUAUAUUCCCUACCAUGCUUUAUGUCAUAAGUCAACGCUAGAUGUUAAAUAAAGUAUCACUUUGAAUUCACAAAUGUUAUUUUAAAGAAAUAACUUAGUAUUUUAUCAAAAAGUAUGAAUUAAUAAUAACCUAAAAUUGUUUUCUUGUAAUUUUUAGGAGAAGAUGACAAAUACAAGGUAAAGUUUCUAACAUAACUUAUAAUAUUUGAUGAUAAUGAAGUUCAAGAUAUCAUUUAUCACUGCAUAGAGAACACACGAAGUCCAUGAUGCUUUAUUGAGAGUUCAUUGAGAAUGUUUGAAGAUAAACAAUAUUGGAAUAAUUUACAUAUUAAUGAAUUUGCUAUAUUCCAUUUAUAUAUUGGUGAAUUUUUCCCUUUUAAUUUGUUUUGUUAGUUAAUGGGUAGUCCAUUGAUAUGUUAUUUCUUUAGAGAAAGAAUUUAGUAUAAAAUGAUAAUCAUACCAAAAAGUCAAAUAUUUAGGCAAAGGAAAACUUGAUUGUUUUAAUAUUUGUGACAGAUGUUUUUUUUCCCUCAAUGUAAUAUGAUAAUAAUUGCUAGUCAUCUUGUUAAAAAAAAUUUGUAUGGGUACUAUUCAACGCAAGCUAGAAGUUUCUAUUAAUUGUCUUACUAUAAAUUUUUAAUACAUAUUUUCCCAAUUAAAUAUGAAUCAAUGUUACUUACAUUUACUUCAUUACUUAGAUAUCAGUGCAUAGAAAAAAUUCUUAGUGAUGUAAAACAAUUAAAAAAAAUUAUAUUAGAUAUUAUUGUAAGGUAUUAUAAUGUUAGUAUAUUUAUAUUGAAAAUAUAAUUGAUUUAUGUCAUUCUUAUAAUUUAAAACAAAAUUUGUAGUUUUAGAGAUGCCUUUUAUACCUUAUGGGUACUAUUAGCAUCAUAUAUUCGAUGUAUUAAAAAAUGGAAACUAUGAAAAAAAAAAAAACUCAAAGUCAAGCAAAAAACAUAUUAUUCAAAUGAAAAAAAAUCAAAUAUGAAAAGAAAUAAUUAUACAAUUUUUUAAUUAUUUUAUUAUAAAAAACCAAAUUAUCCGAAAAUACAUUUUCCUUCAAUUAUUAUUUUUCUUUUCUUUUCAAAAAUGAGAUUGUUAUAAAGAACCUAAUGAAAGGGAAUUUAUGAUUUCUAAAAUAAAAACCAAAUCCAAGAUCAAUAUGAGUAUCUUCCAUCAAUACAACAAAACAAAAUUAAAUAAAAAAAAAAUUCAACUUAAAAGACAAUAAAUUUGAGCAUCAAUAUGGGUUUCAUAUUAUCUUUGGCUUCAAAUGAUAACAGUUGAUCUAACGGUUCAGAAAAAAAAAAAUUAUGGGAGAGCAUGAAGUAUUUUUAUAACUAGAUUUGUUGUUGGAUCUUCUUCGAGGAUAUGCAAGAGAUGAAGAAGAAGAUUAACACAAAUGGCCUUUGGAGGAAUUUUUACACUUUCUUCCCACCCUUCCCAAGACUUCUCAUAAUGGAUGAUUCCAUGGGGUCAUUAUCACCAUUAAUCCACCCUAUUUAGUAAUUUUCCCUACAAAAAAAGUGCAAGUUUUGCGUUAAAUUAUCAUAGAUAAGAAAGAGUAAUUUUUAAUAUGAAAUUAAAUUAUUUAAAAAAAAUAAAGAAUAAUGAGUGCGCAAAUCAAAAGAAAAAAAUGGUUUAGUUUGAGGGAAAAUCAAAGUAUGAAAAAAAAAACAAAAAAGUUUCACGAAGUGUGAGAAAAAAAAUCAUUUUAAAUUUAGUUAGAGAGAAUUUUAGAGAGUUUUAUUUUUCGAAGAAAAAAAUGAGUUUGAAAAAAAAAAAAAAAGAGAGAAGGAAUUCUAAAGAUUGAGUUUUAGUGAAAGGGAAUAUUUAAAAUUAAUAAAUUAUUGUGUAAAAAGGAUGUUUAAAACAAAUUAAAUUUGGUGUUUGUAGAGUAAAAAUAAUUUAAAUAAAUACAUUAACCAUCAACAAAAAAAAUAUAUUAAAAUACUAAAUUAAUUAAAAUAUAAUAAUCCUAUAGAAGGAGAGUUAAAUAAUAGUUCAACCAAUACAAAAAAAAUGUCAAAAAUGUUGAACAAGCUUAAGAUCAAGUAUAAAAAAUAAAAUAAAAAGUCAUUAUUAUUUUAUAAAAAUUUUAAAAUUAUACUUGAACUUUUUUUUCUCUUUUAAUUAGAUGAAUAUGAAUGUUUCAAUUAUUAUUUGAAUUGCAUUUAUGACAUGGUUAACACAUAUAACAUAUUGAGAUACUCAAUGUAUUGUAUUAUACCGUAUCCAAUAAAUUCAACUAGAUUAGUAUACAAAAAAUUUUACUAUCAAUGUCCAAUAUUAAUUUGAACUUAUUAUUCAAUUAGCAUACUAUUUCUUGUUUGGUUAUUUAAUAUUUAUGAAUUAUAACUACAAAAUAAUUUUUACUAAUACUAAUGCAUAUGAUAAAUUUUGGUUAUUAGAUUAUAAAUUAGUUGAAAAUAAUUUUUAACAAAACAAUAUUUUGUCUUUACUCUUUCUAGACAUAUCUUCAAGUUAUAUAAUUAAAUAAAUUUUAAUUGUUUUCCAUCUCUUAAGACUUAAAUUUUUAUUAGAAAAAAAUAAGUUAAGAUAUAUUAUUUUAUUAAAUAAUAUAAUGUAAUUUUUAAUAAAUAUUGAAUAAUUUCAAAUAUUAAUAUAAAAAAUAUGAAAUCAAUCUAAUUAGUAUGGUUUUAAAAAUCGAAUCGGACCGCUCGGUCCAACCGCUGGCCAAUCACGGUUUCAAUUUGAUUAAUUAGGUCGAAAAUAGUUUGAAUUGAAAUCGGACCCAACCCUUGAAUUAGAGGAACCGAUCGAUUCCAUCCGAACCGAAUGAACCCUGGUUGCUUAUUUUCAAUCUAAUUAGUAAACUUAUAUAAUUGCCUAAUAAAAUAAAAUACACUCAAAUUAAAAAGAAAAAAAAAAAGAAAAAAGAGUGCAAAUGUUGGACACAACCUUGGUUGCUUAUUUUCAUGACUUUAAACUCUGCUUUUUAAGAUGGAACGUGAUUCAUUCAAGUUAAGAAAUCCUUUAGGCUAUAUUUGGUUCCCGAAAAAUUUGAGAGAAAAUGCGAGAGAAAUAAAAUAGAGAAAAAAAGUGGAAGUAAAAAAAAUGAAGGAAACUAAAAAAAAUAGAUUCAAAAUUAAUAUAUUAUUUUUACAUGUUUCUUCAAGCUCAUUUCACUUAAUUUCCUCCAUUAUAUAAAGAUUAAAUAAAUUUAAAAUAUAUGAAUUUUUAACUAAUUUUAAUUAUAUUUAAUUUUCUUUUAAAAAAUUUGUAGUGAAACUAAAUAUAAGAAAAUUAUUUUUCUUUGCAUUUUUUUCUUUUCUUAUUUCUUUUUGGGAACCAAACAUAACCUUAAUGUACACUUAUUUUAGGUACCAAUGGACCUUUAUCAUUCCAUCAAAAACUUAAUAUACUACAUUGGAAAACAAGAAGUAAAAAACUAGUUUUGCAAAUUGAAUACAAUUAUGAAAAAAAAAAAAAUAGUUUCAAGGUGCAAUGAAAAAAGUUUACAAGUUUUAGAAUAUUGCACAAAAAAAUAUAUUAACAAAAUCUCAAGGUUUAGACAACAAACUGAUUUACAAGUAGUAAUCUUUCUAUGGAUGAAGUUUAAGAGCCUUAAAAGAGAGGUUCAAGUCAAAACUAAUCUUUAGAUAUAAGUUAUAAUUUAACUAAUCAAUCACUUAUUAUGUAUUAUACUUUUUGGGCAACCUUGGACUGUUAGCCACUGCAACCUACAACUUUUUCCCACUGCUCAAUUAGGUUAUGUUUGGUUUGGGGAAAGUAUUAAAGAAAAAAAAAUUAAGAAAAAUUUAUUUCCUUAUGUUUGAUUUUUCUAUAAUUUAUUUUUUAAGAAAAUUAAAUAUAAUUAAACUUAGUUAAAAAUUUAUAUAUUUUAAAAUUAUUUAAUCUUUAUAUAAUGAAGGAAAUUAAGUGAAAUGAAUUUGAAAAAACAUGUAAAAAUAAUUUAUUAAUUUUGAAUCUAUAUUUUAUUUUACUUUAUUUUUUCUUUCAUUCCACUUUUCUUUUUUCUUUUUUUCCCCUUACAUUUUCUCUCAGAUUUUUAAGGAAUCAAACAGAGGGUAUGAAUUUGAAUAUUUUUUAGCUAUAAAGGUCCAAGAAUUGGUUCAAUUGAAUAUCCAUAUAAUUUUGGAGGAACAUUUUAACAAUAUUAAUAAAUGUUUAUUCGAAUUGAAAAAUAUAUUUUAACUAAUGAUAAAAAUGAAUCAUGUUAAAUUUGAGCUUUUAAUUUUGUAUGAAUCAAACUCUUUGUUUUUUUUUGAAGAAAAAAAAAAUCAACAAUGCAUAAAUGGGUUUUUUUUUUUUAAAUCUUUAUAAAACUAUGAUUCUUUUUCCUUUAAAAAUGUUUAAUUUUUAAAUGUCAAUAUUAAGGCAUAUUUAUUAUCAUUGAAAAAAAAAUAUCUUUUGAUUUUCUUUUCAAUGUCAUUAAAAUUAAAGUCAUAAAUUAUAUGCUAAUCUUUAAUAGAAUGAUUCCACUUUUACCAUCACUUUCGUUAUCUACCUAGCUAUUGGGGAACUCAUGAUGGGACGUGAUAAAAAAAUGAAGUAAUUAUUUCACAAGUUAUUUAUCAAUUUUUUUUAAAAAAUCCUAAUUACCAUAACAUCACAAGAUUUUCUAUAAAUUAUUUUGCCAAACAUUAUGAAAAUGAUGAGAUAAUUUAAUGCUUCUAAAAUUAUAAUAAUUGAAGAAUAAGAUGAGAUUUGAUAGUUGUGGUGAAGUCUAAGACCGCGUUGAGUGUAAUCUGUAAUUAGAGAUAGUGGGGAAUUUCACGAGGCUUGUCAGUAGGCAAAACGCUGGAGUUUAUGCCCCAAUAAUCAAAUCGGGAAGCAGAGAUUCAAACGACAACAAACAAAAGCAAUAGCGGCUAGACGCGUGAAAAAUCCUUUAUGACGUAACGUGCCCCCCACUCAGAAAUCGCCACGUGUGGCACACGCGUCUUCUGAAUUACUUGAAAAUUGAGCAUCCAUUGAGUGUGCCCUGUCCCUUCUGUUUUUACCGAGUCAGUGAUGGACUUGUUAUAUUUUGAAUCCCACUCUCAUCUGCCACUCAUUAUCCUUCUCUACAUGUUUUAAAUAACUGAAAUUACUCUUAAGUGAGUCCACUCGACUACGGGGAUAUAUGAUUCACUCUCUUCUCAUAAGUUCAACUUCAAUUUUUUUUUUGGAUAAAGACAUGGUAAUAUGUACAAAUUUUCUUAAUUCUUGCAAAAAACCGUGACGCAUUAUUUUUAUUUAUUUAAAAAAAUAUGGGUAUAUUUGUGGAUGGAAGGCUUGGAAGCCAUAAUCUUGUACAGGUGAAUGGUGACAGACUUCAUUUAUGAUGGGGUAGUACUAUAUAAUAUUCUUUGUUUUUGGGAAGCAAAACUCUUAAACUUAAUAAUGAAUAAUUUUCUACCUGUUUAAGACUCAGCCUAUCAAAAUAAAACGGCCAAAACCCGGCCUUUAUCUCUCCGUAACUCCUAUAAAUUUCUGGUUCCAACGCAUCAGACACGCCAACAUUCUCGCUUCUUCUCCUCACUUCUCACUUCUCACUUCUCAAACUGAAGGAGAUAGAGAGAGAAAUGCAUAGACAACAUAAGCUUUUGAGCCAUCUCUUUCUCAUUUUCUUAUUCUCAGCUUCGUUUCCCAAUGUAGGAAUGGGUUUUUUUUCUUUUCUUUCUUUUGUUUUCUCAAUAAUUUUUCUUCUUUUUUCACACCCUUUCAAUUCACAAUGCAGGUUGCUUUGGGCGGAGCCGGUGAGGAAUCGGGCAAACCGGUGGCUGGAGAAAACCCAUUCACACCCAGAGCGUCUUUGCUUCGGUAUUGGAAUAAGCAGAUCGGCAGUGGCUUGCCAAAGUCCACCUUUCUUCUCUCCAAGGCAUCCCCAUUGAGCGCGGUUGAGUCGGCCACCUUUACUAAACUUGCCGCUCAAAAUGCGCUUUCCGACAAUCUGCCGGCGUUCUGUAAGUCUGCGAACCUGCUCUGUUUUCCCGAUUUGGGGCAGAGCUUGGAGAAGCAUGACGCUAGUUCCAACUUCGCCGUGUAUUCGAACAAGAAUUUCACCAAUUACGGAACGGAUGGACUCGGGGGAACGGACGCCUUCACAAAAUACUCGGAGGGGGUCAAUCUUCCUGUCGACGCAUUCAAGCGCUAUAGCCGUGACUCCGUCGGCAACAAUGAUAAAUUCGAUAAUUACGGCCGCGAGGGCAACGUCGUGGAUCAGAGCUUCAGCGGCUACGGUGCCGGGGCUACCGGCGGCUCUGGAGAGUUCAAGAAGUACAACGAAGAGGUUAAUGUUCCCAACCUUCGAUUCAACUCCUACACAGACGAUGGCAAUGGCCGUCAACAAUCAUUCACGAGUUACACAAAUGAGACCAAUUCUGGAGAUGAGUCCUUCAGUAGCUACGGCAAGAACGGCAACGGAUCUCCGAACGAGUUCACGAGUUACGGCAGCAGCUCCAACGUCAUCGGCUCCACGUUCACCGGCUACGGUGAAACCGGCAAUGCCGCCAACGAUACGUUCAAGAGCUACGGCUUUGACGGCAACGUGCCAGAGAACAACUUCAAGAAAUACGGUGAUGGUGGUAAUGCGGGGACCGAUACUUUCAUAAGUUACAGAGAUCAAUCCAAUGUAGGAGACGACUCCUUCAAAUCCUACGCCAAGAAUUCCAAUUCCGCAGAGGUGGAUUUCGUCAACUAUGGGAAAUCGUUCAACGAAGGUACAGACACUUUCGCUGGGUACGGCAAGGGAGCGACGAACCACAAAAUUAAUUUCAAGAUCUACGGCGUCAACAACACAUUCACAGACUACGCUAAAAAGGGCAUCUCCUUUUCAAGAUACACCAACAAAAGCUCUGAAACAAUGACUUCCAUGGCGGUCAGUGGCAGUUCAGUAAAUAGGUGGGUUGAGCCGGGUAAAUUCUUCCGCGAGUCGAUGCUGAAGAAAGGGACUGUGAUGCCAAUGCCGGACAUUAGGGAUAAAAUGCCCAAAAGGUCGUUUUUGCCCCGCACUAUUUCCUCCAAAUUUCCGUUUUCAACCUCCAAACUUGAGGAGAUGAAGAAAAUAUUCCAUGCCGCGGAUAACUCAAGCAUGGAGCACAUGUUCACAGAGGCAUUAGAUGACUGCGAGAGAGCACCCAGCAAAGGCGAGACCAAGCGCUGCGUCCCCUCCAUCGAGGACAUGAUCGACUUCGCCACCACCGUCCUCGGCCGCAACGUUGUGGUUCGCACCACCCAAUCCGUCGAAGGGUCAAAACAAAACUUAAUGAUCGGGUCGGUCAAAGGGAUCAACGGUGGACAAGUCACCAAAUCGGUGUCCUGCCACCAGAGCCUGUUCCCUUAUCUACUCUAUUACUGCCACUCCGUUCCCAAGGUUCGGGUCUAUGAAGCGGACCUCCUGGACCCGAAAACCAAAGCCAACGUUAACCAUGGUGUUGCCAUCUGUCACUUGGACACCUCCGAUUGGAGCGCGGGUCAUGGUGCAUUCGUGGCAUUGGGUUCGGGCCCUGGCCGGAUUGAAGUUUGUCACUGGAUUUUCGAGAAUGAUAUGACCUGGACCAUUGCAGACUGAGCCAUGACCCACCUUCCCGUCUGGGUUCGAACCACUUGGUCAACAAAGCUGGCUCGACCCCAACUUCCGCUUAUGUAUUUCCUUCAUAAGAUGUCAUGGUGAAAUAUUUAAGGCAUGUGUUUCACCAGGCUAAGGAUGGUAAUUUAUUGUAUGUUAUCAU